GAGAGGUGCGUGGAGAUGCGACCUCUCUCGUGUCCGACAGUGGGUGCCCCCUCGGCUCUGGCUGGUCGCCGGACCCCGGCCCGGAGGGUGGGUGACGCGAGCCCUUUGCUGCCACCAGCUUGCGGCUUCGGUCCCCGCCCCGGGAUGGUAACAAAGCUCCGCCAGGGGAGGGAGGCCCCUCCUUGGGGCCUGGGACUUCAGGAACCGCUCCCCGCCUAGCAGCUGGGGCUUGGAGGACCGAGGAGGCCCAGGGGACGUGGGCCGACGCGGGCACCAAGUUGAGGGUAUUCUCAGAAAACGAGAACUCUCCAGCCGCCGGCGAUUGAGGGAAGGCACGCGACGAUUAUUUCCUCCUGCUCCUCGCGGAUGAGAACUGUGUGAGUGACCUCAGUUAGGCGGAUCCAGGUGAGCUUACUGGGACGUGUGUGGCUGGAUGAACAUCUCAUUUCAUUUCUGCCUGAUUUUCUGUGCCUGAAAUAUAAUUGUUUUGUUUUCGGACCUUCCAGGUUUGUUUGGUUUAAUCCUUAACCACGUGAUUUUUGAAUGAGGACCCGCGUAAGACCCUGUUUGGAACGGGGGUCAAUAAAAGGAGUCAGACCCUGAGGAGACUUCUCGUGCACUUUGUGGUUUCUGUGCCCAGUGAUGGUGUGUCUGAACGUGUCGCCUCUGCUGCCGUGCUGUGGGAACGGGGGACGGUCUGCCAGAGCCACUCGCCCUUCUCUUAGGAAGUGUGAGCGCCUGGGGCACGCCUCAGCCUGAACUGUCAAGGAAGGGGGACACGUGGAGGGAGGUGGUCGUUGUCGAUAAUCCAGCCGGAAGGGGGGUGGCCACCGUGUUGAGAAGGAGCACUUCACUUUGGGUGGAGUUUGCCAGACCCGACUGCUGACCUCAGGCAUGGUCACCGGGAGCUGCCAGCCCUGCCCAUCUCCGCCCAUCUCUGCUUCCUCGCCUGCAUUGCUCAUCCCAUCCGGCCUCUUGGUUCAGCCUGAAACCAGGUCCACACUUCACCAAGGGCACUGCCAGCCUUCUGCAGGGGUGAGCCGCUCCGUGCCUCGGGGUCUCAGCACGGGGCUGCCUGGCACUCACAUACCCUUUGUGCCACCUGUACCCAUAUCUUAGUCCCCAGGGUGCUGUUGGCAACACCCUGGGCCUGCGAAACAGCCUCGGAGCCUCAGUGGGGUUUGCUGUCGGCUCUUGUGUUUUGACCCUUGUAGUUUUCACAUUUGGGCCACUCCCGGAUCCCAGAGCAUGCAGCUCAGUACAGGUGGCGUCAUGUUCUUCCGCAUGCUUGUCUUUAGAGGGAGAAGGUGUAAUAAUCACCUAGGUUAACGUGAAGAUGUGACGUAUCCUGCAGGAAACAGUAUAUAUUGGUAUUUCUGGAAUAAAUUUGGAUGCCCUGUUGCUGCCUCUUUCUCCUGUGGUGUUUUUCUCGAGUGCAGAUGUUCACUUCCCACUGGCUCCGGGCAGGGCCUUGUCUGUCUGUCCGUCCUUGGUGUCGGUCUGGUCGAGCAGCUGUGGGGCCCCGUGCCUGCAGACUUGGUGGGGGAGUCAGGUCAGCCUUCGGUUUGGUAGGUUAAUCAGAAGCGUUACAUUCCAGGCUCUUCAGCAGUUAUUACUGUGUUUCCCC